GGGGGGGGUGGGGGGGGGGGUGGGGGGGGGGGGUGGGGGGGGGGGGGGGGGGGCUGUUUGGUGGGUGUGGGUGAGUGGCGAGGGGGUGGGUAACACGUGAGUAACCUGCCGCCUUCUUCUGGGUAAUCGGAUGAAAGGGUGGCUAAUACGGGAUAUUCUGGGGCUGUCGGAUGCUGGGUCUGGGAAAGAUAUUGUUUCGGUGGGGGAUGGGGUCGCGGCCUCUAAGCUUGUUGGUGGGGUGAUGGCCUACAAAGGCGGUGACGGGUAGCCGGCCUGAGAGGGUGGACGGACAAACGGGGACGGAGACACGGUCCAGACUCCGACGGGAGGCAGCAGUGGGGAAUAUGGCACAGUGGGCGAGAGCCUGAUGCAGCGACGCCGCGUGAGGGAUGGAGGCCUGCGGGUUGGGAACCUCUUUCGACAGUGAAGCAGGCCUGCCGCGUUUGUGGGUGGGUUGACGGUAGCUGGAGAAGAAGCGCCGGCUAACUACGUG
rnacentral:rRNA from 1 species